CAGUAGCCGCGGUAAUACGGAGGGGGCUAGCGUUAUUCGGAAUUACUGGGCGUAAAGCGCACGUAGGCGGCUUCGCAAGUCAGAGGUGAAAGCCUGGGGCUCAACUCCAGAAUUGCCUUUGAGACUGCGUCGCUCGAAUCCGGGAGAGGUGAGUGGAAUUCCGAGUGUAGAGGUGAAAUUCGUAGAUAUUCGGAAGAACACCAGUGGCGAAGGCGGCUCACUGGACCGGCAUUGACGCUGAGGUGCGAAAGCGUGGGGAGCAAACAGGAUUAGAUACCCGGGUAGUCCCUGUCUCUUAUAA
rnacentral:rRNA from 1 species